rnacentral:rRNA from 1 species
GACGAACGCUGGCGGCGUGCUUAACACAUGCAAGUCGAACGGAAAGGCCCUGCUUUUGUGGGGUGCUCGAGUGGCGAACGGGUGAGUAACACGUGAGUAACCUGCCCUUGACUUUGGGAUAACUUCAGGAAACUGGGGCUAAUACCGGAUAGGAGCUCCUGCUGCAUGGUGGGGGUUGGAAAGUUUCGGCGGUUGGGGAUGGACUCGCGGCUUAUCAGCUUGUUGGUGGGGUAGUGGCUUACCAAGGCUUUGACGGGUAGCCGGCCUGAGAGGGUGACCGGCCACAUUGGGACUGAGAGACGGCCCAGACGCCUACGGGAGGCAGUAGUGGGGAAUAUUGCACAAUGGGCGGAAGCCUGAUGCAGCAACGCCGCGUGCGGGAUGACGGCCUUCGGGUUGUAAACCGCUUUCGCCUGUGACGAAGCGGGAGUGACGGUAAUGGGUAAAGAAGCACCGGCUAACUACGUG